GACGAACGCUGGCGGCGUGCUUAACACAUGCAAGUCGAGCGGUAAGGCCCUUUCGGGGGUACACGAGCGGCGAACGGGUGAGUAACACGUGGGUGACCUGCCCUCAGCUCUGGGAUAAGCCUGGGAAACUGGGUCUAAUACUGGAUAUGACUCCACGGUGCAUGUCGUGGGGUGGAAAGCCUUGUGCGGCUGAGGAUGGGCCCGCGGCCUAUCAGCUUGUUGGUGGGGUGAUGGCCUACCAAGCGACGACGGGUAGCCGGCCUGAGAGGCGACCGGCCACACUGGACUGAGACACGGCCCAGACUCCUACGGGAGGCAGCAGUGGGGAAUCUUGCGCAAUGGGCGAAAGCCUGACGCAGCGACGCCGCGUGAGGGAUGACGGCCUGG
rnacentral:rRNA from 1 species